GACGGGGGCCCGCACAAGCAGUGGAUUAUGUGGUUUAAUUCGAAGCAACGCGAAGAACCUUACCAGGGCUUGACAUCCUCUGACUGCUCUAGAGAUAGAGUUUCCCUUCGGGGCAGAGAGACAGGUGGUGCAUGGUUGUCGUCAGCUCGUGUCGUGAGAUGUUUGGUUAAGUCCAAUAACGAGCGCAACCCCUAUGGUCAGUUGCCAUCAUUUAGUUGGGCACUCUGGCAAGACUGCCGCGGACAACGCGGAGGAAGGAGGGGACGACGUCAAAUCAUCAUGCCCCUUAUGUCCUGGGCUACACACGUAAUACAAUGGCAACGACAGAGGGCAGCAAACCCGCGAGGGCAAGCAAAUCCCCAAACGUUGUCUCAGUUCGGACUGCAGGCUGCAACCCGCCUGCACGAAGUCGGAAUUGCUAGUAAUGGCAGGUCAGCAUACUGCCGUGAAUACGUUCCCGGGCCUUGUACACACCGCCCGUCACACCAUGAGAGUCUGCAAUACCCGAAGUCAGUAGCCUAACCGCAAGGAGGGCGCUGCCGAAGGUAGGGCCGAUAAUUGGGGUGAAGUCGUAACAAGGUAGCCGUUCGGAA
rnacentral:rRNA from 1 species